rnacentral:rRNA from 1 species
GACGAACGCUGGCGGCGUGCCUAAUACAUGCAAGUAGAACGCUGAAGGAGGAGCUUGCUUCUCUGGAUGAGUUGCGAACGGGUGAGUAACGCGUAGGUAACCUGCCUGGUAGCGGGGGAUAACUAUUGGAAACGAUAGCUAAUACCGCAUAAUAGCAGUUAUUGCAUGAUAACUGUUUGAAAGGUACAAUUGCACCACUACCAGAUGGACCUGCGUUGUAUUAGCUAGUUGGUGGGGUAACGGCUCACCAAGGCGACGAUACAUAGCCGACCUGAGAGGGUGAUCGGCCACACUGGGACUGAGACACGGCCCAGACUCCUACGGGAGGCAGCAGUAGGGAAUCUUCGGCAAUGGACGGAAGUCUGACCGAGCAACGCCGCGUGAGUGAAGAAGGUUUUCGGAUCGUAAAGCUCUGUUGUAAGAGAAGAACGAGUGUGAGAGUGGAAAGUUCACACUGUGACGGUAGCUUACCAGAAAGGGACGGCUAACUACGUG